GAUGAACGCUGGCGGCGUGCUUAAUACAUGCAAGUCGAGCGAACGGACGAGAAUCUUGCUUCUCUGAUGUUAGCGGCGGAGGGGUGAGUAACACGUGGAUAACUUACUUAUAAGACUGGGAUAACUUCGGGAAACCGGCGCUAAUACCGGAUAAUAUUCUGAUUCGCAGGGUUCAAUAGUGAAAUACGGUGUUGCUGUAACUUAUAGCUGGAUCCGCGCUACAUGAGCUAGUUGGCAAGGUAAAGGCUUACCAAGGCUGGGAUGCAUAGCCGACCUGAAGGAGUGGUCGGCUACAUGGGAGGUGAGGCAGAGUCCAGACUCCUGCGAUGGGCAGCAGACGGGAAUCUUCCGCAAUGGGGGAGAGCCUGACGGAGCGACGCGGCGUGAGAGAUGAAGGUGUACGGAUCGGAAAACGCUGUUAUUAGUUGAAAACAAAUGUGUCAUUAACUGUGCAGAUCGUGACGGUACCUAGUCAAGAAGCCACGGCUAACUACGUG
rnacentral:rRNA from 1 species